AAAUAACACAAAAUACGACGAGAAAUAUAAGAGAGAAUUGAGUAAAUUU
rnacentral:guide_RNA from 1 species